rnacentral:rRNA from 1 species
UUUUACAAUGUAGAGUUUGAUCCUGGCUCAGGAUGAACGCUAGCUACAGGCUUAACACAUGCAAGUCGCGGGGCAGCAUGAUUUUUCCCUCGGGAAAGAUUGAUGGCGACCGGCGCACGGGUGAGU